CACUCCAAAACUACUUCUAAAAAAAAAAUUAGCUUUCGCCUUUCCCCCGUUUCCAAUCAAUCUCCGUUUUAUCCUAGUAACAGCCGGCGUGGUCCAGGUAGCCUUCUCUGAGUGGUUUACUUUCCUCAGGCAAUCUUUCGAACAGCCCUAGCUCCUUCCAUCCUUCAAGUUCCACGGGAUGUCAACAAUCCGGAAGUUGAUGUCCUGGGAGGCAGGGCCCUGAAAAGCUUCUUGGUUUUGAGCCCCUCUCACACUAUGUAGAAGAGUUUUUCCGUUUCUUGGAGACUUUACCAGUUCUCGUGGGUUGUUAUUGUUUCUCUCGGAAACAAAAUUUAUCUUCUCCUAUAAAGCCAUUUCUCCACGCUUCUCAUCAAGCAACAAACAUUCAUUAGGCGCUUGCUGUGUGCCAGGUGUUCUGGGAAUUUAAAGACACCACCGCGUCUUCCAAGCGAAGAGCAGCUCUCAGACAGAGAAGACUUCAGGCUACAGACUCCAGACUCCAUCUCCAGACCAGCUAUGUGGCGACUCUCCUCCCUCCUUCACUUCCCCACCUAAAGACCAAGGACUUGGGUUGGUCCCAAGGCCCUCCAGAGAGCUAGCCCAGACUUUACAAUGCAUGAUAAAUGUGGAUAUAUAGAGAGAAGAACUGUGUAUCUUAACAUUUGUGGAAUCACUGUCUAGGAGAGAGAGUAGGAGGAAGAGAGGGAGAAGAAUUUGGGACACAAGAUUUUGCAAAGGUGAAUGUUGAAAACUAUUUUUGCAUGUAUUUGGGAAAUAAAAAGCUUUUUUUUUUUUUUUUUUUAAAGAGCUACUACAAACAUUUUUGCACAUGGCUCCUUGUUAUGGGCCAGAACUCUGAACUUGAAACAAAGGAUUCUUACAAGGUAUUAAAUCAGUGGAAUUGAUAGAGACAAUGGUAAUUUAGCUUGGUGCUUAACAGUUCUCUAGUUCAGUACAUGUACUUAGUACUUACUAUACAAGAUUCACACCUUUGAUUAGAGAAGAUAUAAGCUCGAACAAACUCAGCCAGAAUGAGAACUAGGGAAGAUGGAGAAGUGGUGGCAGGCUCUUGUCCUUCGCUUCUCCACUGAAACCAAGACUCUAGAAGGCCUCCAGAAAAACUAGCCGAGCCCCAAGUGAAGGAGAUAAUAAAGAAUUUGGACUUUAACACCUGGCUAUACUCGUGUGAUGAUUACUGAACUGAAAUGAAGGCUGAUUCCAGAGACCCCAAGAGAACCUCAACAGAGAACAUUACAUUUUAGAAAGAAUAUUACAGGUCCUUUUCCCUCUUUUAUGAUAUUUUUGGGAUACAGACCCAGUAAUGAUCAAAGAGUAUGUGCAGUCCAACCUUUUUUUUACCCUGAGGCAAUUGGGGUUAAGUGACUUGCCCAGGGUCACACAUCUGGGAAGUAUUUAGUGUCUGAGGUCAGAUUUGAACUCAGGUCCUCCUGACAUCAGGGCUGGUACUCUAUCCAGCUGCUCCCCCAACUUACUUUUUAGACCAAUUUGGCAUUUCUCCCCUUUGUGUAUACAUUCCCACCAAACCUAAAUUUAGCAUUGCCUCUCUGUUUUCCACAGUUUACUCUCUCAUGACUGAUGUUCACUCUUUCCUAAUCUCAGACUUUUAGAAUUCUUGGUUUUUUAAGGAUUUACCUGAAUUCUUUUCUGAUUCCCCACCUAGUGCCUUCCUUCUUGAUAAUUUGCAUUGUAUCCUGUUUGUUUUGUUUGUGUGUGUUUGUUUUGCAUGUUGUCUGUCUUUCCUACUAGUCUGAGGGCAGGGAGUAUAUCUUGCCAUUUGUUGGAUUCCUAGCACUUAACAGAGUACUCGGCACAUAGUAAAUGCUUGAUAGAUGUUUAUGACUCUGGCCAGUUCAGGUUUCCUUUCACAUGGAAAGCUUUUCUUGAUCCCCUAGUCUUUGGCAUUCCUUUCUAGCUGUGGUCAUGGAGAGAACCGAGCCUGGAGUCAGGGCAGCCUGAGUUCAUAUGUGGUCUCAGCUCUUUCUAGCUGUAUGACUCUGGGCCAUUCAGCCUUGUCCAUCUUCCUUUUCUGAUCUGUAAAAGCUUUUUUGCAAGGCUCAGAGUAAUCUGGCUGUGUGACCCUGGGCAAACCCCAAUUAUCUCACCAAAAAAAAAAAAAAAAGGAAUUGUUUGUUCAUAUCUUUUGAUCAUUUCUCAAGUGGGGAAUGAUUUUUGUUAUGAAUUUGUAUUAGUCUUAUUUCAUACAGUUCCUUAAAUUCUUCAUAUUUCUUGUUAGUGAUUUUUAAAAAAUAAAAUUCUAAUAUAAUUCCAAAUUGUUUUCCUGAAUUAUUGGAUCUACUUAUAGCUCUGCCAAGUGUAUUAAUGUGCCUCUUUCCCCCAUAGUCCUUCCACUAUUUACCAUUCUUACCACUUGCCCCAACUUCAGUAGUCUUUCCUUUGAAAUAGUUAACCAAAAUCAAGAUAAAACCACCAGAGUAUGCAGUGUUCCAUAUCCAUAGGUGCAUAGAUUUAGAGAAAAGAACUUUAAAGAUCAGUUAUUUCACUAUCUUCCUAUUGUCUUUACUAAUUUGAUGUAUAUGCAGUAAAACUCCAAAGUUGUUUUAUUGUGCAUUUCUUUUAUUAGUAAUGUUAUUUUAUUUGCAGCAUUUUUUCAUAUGGUUAUUUCAUAGUUCUUCCUUUGAAAACUGCCUGCUAUAUCUUUUCAAGACUGACUGUACACAUCAGGGAAUGCUUUUGUUCUUAAAUCUUUCCAGACUCAUUUAAACAUUACUCAUCCCUACUUCGCCCGCUCUGCAGUCCAGUCAAAUUGGCUUGCUUUCUGUUCCUCACAUGAUACUGUUUCCCCACUUGUAAUGGGCCAGAAUUCUGGAGAAAUGUACUUGAAACAAGGAUUCUUACAAAGUGCUAACUCACUGGAAUUGAUAAGACAAUGGUUAUCAAGUUUAGCAUGUGAGUUCUCUAGUUCAGUAUGGUUAAAUUAAUCUUACAACAAAUAAUAGUUCCCUGUGAUAUGAUAAUUGGCUUUAUGAUGAAUGGAUUUAAUUGUAACAGUAUUUAAGAGGUCAUAGUCAGACCUAGAAACAGACUUGGAGAAGACAGAGGACUGGAGGCUGGAGCUCAAGCUCUCCGACUUAGACAGUCCAUCUUCAUCAGUCUCAUGGUGGCUGGCCUGUCCUCCUGCAUCCCCCAUUGAGACCAAGGCCCAUCUGAAGGGCCUCCAGAAAGCUAGCCGAGCCCCAGGCAAGGAGACAGACUGAAGGAGACAAUAAAGACUUUUGGAGUUUAUCCCUGGCCAUUCUUGUUGUGAUUACUCAGCUGAAAUGAAGACUGGUCCCAAGACCUCCAGAAAGCUAACCAGGACAUUACAGCCAUUCUCUGCCUUUGUCUCCCAAGCCUGCAAGGCACGUCUUCCCUAUUUCAGACUCAGAAUUCUUUUAAGACAUAGCUCAAGCACCAUCUACAUAAAGUCUUUUCUGAUUCCCUCAGCAGCUGGCAUCCUCCUCCCUCAAACCACCUUGUAUUUAACUAUUUUGUGUAUAUUUGCAUUUAUUCACUUUAUAUUAAUCCUAUAAAUAUGGGCAGCUAGGAUAGAGCCUUGUGCUAAGAAAAUCUCAAAUAGGGUCACAAAGAUAGGAAUGAAAAAACCAAUAAAUGAAAAUAUAUUUACUAUGUGUGCUUUUUGUCUCCAUUAAAAUGUAAGCACGUUGUGUGUAGGGAUUUCCCCCCUCCACCCAUUUGUAUCUCUAGUGCCUGGCACAUUGUAUAUGCCUAAUAAAUAUCUAUUAAUUGAUUAUGUUUGGAUCACAUUCGUAUUUUUCUCCCAUAAGACUUUUCCUUCCCAGACCCUCAACUGGUAACUUUAUUUGCUCACUACCUUCAUCUGUAAUGCUUACCUUUUAGAACUGCCCUCUUGCCCAGCUUUCUCAGUCUUGAGUCUUUGCUCUAUAUUCCCAGGGUCCAUCUAGCUCUGACAUCCUAUGGCUCCUUAGAGUGUAGGGAGCAGUUUUGGCCAGUGCCUUCUGCUAAGGCAUAUUCAUUUGGGGGUGGGUGAUGGAGGAGGUCCUGGAAUAGCAGCCCGCUCCCCUACCUCCUAGGGGGAAGGCUUCCUCUUAGAGGGGAAUAAUGUGGGGCCAGGGAAGGUUACAGGGUGAGGUCACUGAAGGAUGGAGCUGCCAUCUGCUGGCUUCUUUGUUUAACAAACAGCUACACAAUCUGUCAAAAGUUUUAUCAAUGCCUGUUAAUCUUAGCCAUUUCCCUAAAUACUCCUUUCCUUCCAAUCCCCAAACCUGAGUCUUCUCAUCUAACACAGAAAACUUAAUUCAAAUCAAGGGACACAGUGAAUAGAGUAUGCAAUAUUCGAUUAGAUCAUAGAUGUGGGGAUGGAAGUAAUCUUAGAGAUCAUUGGUUCAAAGCACUUUUACAGAUAAGCAAACUGAGGUCUAGAGAGGUUAGGUGACUUGUCCCUAUAGCUUUGUUAGCUAGGUUUGGUGUUACCUGGGCUCCAUUCCCCACUCUAAUUAUUAUGGCUUGAAUGGCCCCCAGACUUUUCCCCAUACUCCAGUACCAGCGUUUGUUGGGACAUAAUUCUGUAGCUGCUGCUUGCCUCUAGCACCCUGGGGAUGCUGUGGCCUAGAAGGGGGUAUGAGGGGGACAGAUACACUUUUCAGGCUUUGGUGUAGGCUACACAGUCACUGAGAUCGUCAAAAAUGGUACAGAGGGUACAGGGCCCAGAUGGGAAACAAACAAAACGUGGUAGAGAACACAGGGCAUAGUAAAACAAGAUGCUUUAAAAAUACACUGAUGCCCAUCAGUUGGCAAAUGGCUGAAUAAGUUAUGGUAUAUGAAUGUUAUGGAAUAUUAUUGUUCUGUAAGAAAUGACCAGCAGGAUGAUUUCAGAAAGACCUGGAAAGUCUUACAUGAACUGAUGCUAAGUGAAAUGAGCAGGACCAGGAGACCAUUGUACAUGGCGACAACAUUAUAUGAUGAUCAAUUCUGAUAAACAUGGCUCUUUUCAACAAGAUGAUUCAUACCAGUUCCUUUGGUCUUGUGAUGAAGAGAGCUAUUUAGAGAGAAAGGACUGGGAACUGAAGGUGGAUCACAACAUAGUAUUUUUACUCUGUUUGCUUGCAUUUUUCUCAUUUUUUUAUCUGAUUUUUUUUGUGUGCAGCAUGAUUAUAGAACUGUGUGUAAAAGAAUUGCAUGUUUAACAUAUAUUGGAUGACUUGCCAUUUAGGGGAGGGAAGGACAAGAGGGGAAAUUUGGAACACAAGAUUUUGCAAGGCUGAAUGUUGAAAAAUUAUCCAUGCAUACAUAUGUUUUGAAAAUAUGAAAAAAUUACAGUCCCGGGAAGUGUUUUGAAUAAAGUAAUUACUUCCAGGUGGAUUGAUUUACAAUGUUUUCAUUUCCUUAUUGGGCUAAUCACCACUAGGAUAAGAGACUACUAUGUCUAAUCUGGAAUGUCUUCUCUAGCAUCCUUUGCUAUGGGCUGCACAUAGUAAGUGCUUUAGAGAAAAGUCUUUUGCAAAAUUGGAGCAUUGCUAAUAAAAAAAUCUUCUAACCCAUCACCUUGCCUCUAAUACCUUCUUUUUCAGUCUCAACUCGGAAGCCAACAUGGGUCAUUUCUUCUUAAAGACAUUGUUAUCAGUGGUUCUCAUUGCUACAAGUCUCAUAUUAGAAGUCUAUCUUCUCUUCCCUACUUCCUCCUAUUUCUUUGUUCCCUUCACUUUCCUGUUUCCCUACAAAGUUUCCUCACCGUAGAACUUGUCAAAUUCUAGAUACAGCAGAUGCAUUCCUGCCUUUCCUUUAGUCCCUUUCCAAAGCAAUCAGAGCAACAGGGACUCACUGUUGCUAUUGCUUUGGUGGUUCUCAUGUGUAUAUAUACACAGUACAAUGCCUGUCACAUAGUAGGCAUUCUGUAAAAUGCUUAUUCCUUCCUUUUCUCCAUCUUCCUAUUCUCUGGCCUGGGCAUUAAAACCACUAUAAAUUUUUUUUGGAGAGGGUGAUGUUGUGAGGGUCAAAUGAAGUAGUAAUUAUAUUUAUAGAGUUAAAAUAGUUUCAAAGAGCUUUUUGUAUAGUCUUUUAUAUAGACAGGGCAUCAUCUAUCACUCCCGUUAAAUUUUUUUCAAUAGUAAUUUAUUUUUCCUAAUACAUAUAGAGUUUAACAUUCAUUUUUUGACUUUCAAAUUUUUCUUCCUUUCGUCUCAUCUCCUCCCCAAGACAGCAAGUUAGUUAAACGUGCAUUUCUUUUAAACAUUUCCAUAUUUGUCAUGUUGUAAUCACUCCCAUUUUAAAGAUGAAGAAACUGAGUCACAGAGAGGUUAGAUGAGUUGCCAAGAUCACUGAACUAGUACAUCGCAGAGGCAGAUCUUAAAACUCAAGUCCACUACAUUCAGUCCUUGUUCUUUCAUAAUCUUUCAGAAGUUCAUCAGCAAGAUUUGGAAUCUGAGAAGUCCCUCCCUCGAUCUUGGCCUAUUUCACCACUAACAAAGUGCUCACCAUUCCUCCAUGGCUAAGGCUCCUCCCAGUUUUACAGGCUUGGUUCUGUGCUGCUCCUAGCCUCUGCUCCAAAGUCUUUUACCCUUUCUUUCCUCUUCUCAGAAAGUGCUUUCAAAAAGGAGGUGUGAUGUUCCCAACUGGACCCAUCAGCAAAAUUCAUCCUAGGAUUAAGACACACAUGCGCACGCACACACACGGCAGAGACUAGUGCUUUGUCACCUUAUUUAUUAGAGAUCACCUUUUCAAAGUAAAAAGAGGUGGGGAGAGGUCAGGACGAGGGGUUUGCAUACAAGUGUUAUUCUGUGUCAGCAGUGGUGGCAAGGGUCUACAGAAAAAUUCUGAGUUCGAGAGACAUCGUCAAAGAGGAGGCCAUGCCUCGAUUGUCAAAUACCAGACAAAACAGGAAUUGAGUACAGGGGAUCCCUCUUUGAGGAUUAAGACACACAAGGUUUUUUUUUUGUUUGUUUAAAUCAGUUACGCUGUGAGACUGGAUCAAUCAGACAUCGAAGCAAUUUUGCCACCAGAAGGCCAACAAGGAGCUACUGUAGAGACAACAAACA